rnacentral:rRNA from 1 species
AUUGAACGCUGGCGGAAUGCUUUACACAUGCAAGUCGAACGGUAGAGGGGGCAACCCCUCGAGAGUGGCGAACGGGUGAGUAAUAUAUCGGAACGUGCCCAGUCGUGGGGGAUAACGUAGCGAAAGUUACGCUAAUACCGCAUACGAUCUAAGGAUGAAAGCGGGGGAUCGCAAGACCUCGCGCGAUUGGAGCGGCCGAAAUCAGAUUAGGUAGUUGGUGGGGUAAAGGCUCACCAAGCCAACGAUCUGUAGCUGGUCUGAGAGGACGACCAGCCAUACUGGAACUGAGACACGGUCCAGACUCCUACGGGAGGCAGCAGUGGGGAAUUUUGGACAAUGGACGCAAGUCUGAUCCAGCCAUUCCGCGUGCAGGAUGAAGGCCCUCGGGUUGUAAACUGCUUUUGUACGGAACGAAAAGGUCUCUCUUAAUACGGGGGACUCAUGACGGUACCGUAAGAAUAAGCACCGGCUAACUACGUGCCAGCCGCCGCCGUAA